rnacentral:rRNA from 1 species
CACGCAGGCGGUCUGCUAAGUCCUUUGUGAAAGCCCGGGGCUCAACCCCGGAACUGCAUCGGAUACUGACAGACUGGAGACAGGUAGAGGCUAGCGGAAUUCCUGGUGUAGCGGUGGAAUGCGUAGAUAUCAGGAAGAACACCUGUGGCGAAGGCGGCUAGCUGGGCCUGUUCUGACGCUCAUGUGCGAAAGCGUGGGGAGCAAACA